AUCACUUAUUGGCGCUUUGGCUGAGAUCAAAUAUCGUAUCUGUUCUUAUCAGUUUAAUAUGUUACGUCCUCUACCUGAGAACAAUAUAUUACAUGGAUUUUUGGAGCAGGGACAUAGAAUAGGAGCUUGCUCCAUCCACUCCACACAUUAUUGAUCAGGUAUUGCAGUACCUCUAGGAACAGUGCAAAAAAA
rnacentral:snRNA from 1 species